UACGUAGGGUCCGAGCGUUGUCCGGAGUUACUGGGCGUAAAGCGCGCGCAGGCGGCGGUGCUGGCCCGGCGUGAAAGCCCCCGGCUCAACCGGGGAGGGUCGUCGGGGACCGCACCGCUUGAGGGCGGUAGGGGCUGGUGGAAUGCCUGGUGUAGUGGUGAAAUGCGUAGAGAUCAGGCGGAAUACCCGUGGCGAAGGCGGCCAGCUGGGCCGUCCCUGACGCUGAGGCGCGAAGGCGUGGGGAGCGAACGGG
rnacentral:rRNA from 1 species